GAUGAACGCUGGCGGCGUGCCUAAUACACGCAAGUCGAGCGAACGGACGAGAAGCUUGCUUUUCUGAUGUUAGCGGCGGACGGGUGAGUAACACGUGGAUAACCUACCUAUAAGACUGGGAUAACUUCGGGAAACCGGAGCUAAUACCGGAUAAUAUUUUGAACCGCAUGGUUCAAAAGUGAAAGACGGUCUUGCUGUCACUUAUAGAUGGAUCCGCGCUGCAUUAGCUAGUUGGUAAGGUAACGGCUUACCAAGGCAACGAUGCAUAGCCGACCUGAGAGGGUGAUCGGCCACACUGGAACUGAGACACGGUCCAGACUCCUACGGGAGGCAGCAGUAGGGAAUCUUCCGCAAUGGGCGAAAGCCUGACGGAGCAACGCCGCGUGAGUGAUGAAGGUCUUCGGAUCGUAAAACUCUGUUAUUAGGGAAGAACAUAUGUGUAAGUAACUGUGCACAUCUUGACGGUACCUAAUCAGAAAGCCACGGCUAACUACGU
rnacentral:rRNA from 1 species